AGUCAACUUUAUGCUCAUCACCGGCAAAGUCAGCCAUAGGAACCUUUAUCAUGAUCAAAUAGGAAACAAUGAAAGAUGUUAUAUUUAAUUUAAACAUGACAUUAAUCAAGUGAGAUCCAUGGAGAGAAAGAAGAAUGGAUAACAACUUACCCUGAUAACAUCAAGCAUAUCAACGAGGAAUGGUUUGAAUAUAACUCGUUUCUCUUGGACUGGAAGGUCGCGUUGCAGUGAAUAUCGACAAGAUAAUAGACGAGCAGAGUCCCAAACUUCUUGAUAAAUUGGAUCGUUUUGGAAUAUUAUUACAUUUUCGAAUUGUUUAGAAUCUUUGACGUCUUUACUGAGAACACUCGCAGUACCACAACCUUCAGCUGGAAUUUUGAAUGCUAAAUUGGACGAAUCGCUUUUCUCUUGGACAUAUCUGUUUUGGGUUGAAUCAUCGAGAAGCAAGAAUUAGCAAGAAUAUGAAUAUUCCUUAAGGCUCGGUUGACCAACAUUGAUCAAAGAAAUAUAUUCAAUCAAGAUUAAUUAGCGUAUUUUCUCACUUUCUUCUGGGAACUCUGACUAAAUGAUCGAUAAUUAUCAUUGUGAUCAACCAUUAUCAGCUUCAUGUCUGGAUAUAAUUUGCGUGAUAUGAUUGAACGUGAUUGUCAAAGAAAUAAACAACUCAAUUAAAUAUGCUUAUUGAACUCAA